UUAUAUCAUUUUAAUCAAUUUUAUUUUAUUUUAUACAUAUAUUAUAUAUAUAUAUAUUUUUAUUAAAUAUAUAUAUUUUUCUUAAAUAAAUAAAUCUAUAUUUAUUGGUGAACUGUCAAGAAUAUCUUUUAAUUUAAUUCAAUAAUCGAAAUUGUGCUGCAAAGAUCAUUCUUCUAUCGAAAACUGUGACAUGUAGACGUUAUAGAUUGAUUGAAACAAUAUAAGACGGGAAAACGAAAUUUCAAUAUGGACACUAUAACGAUUGACGUAAUGAAAAAAUGGUAACAUUCAAUAAUGUUUCUACUUCCUUUUAUUUGAUGACAACUUCACAAUGACUUCCAAUAUCAAUAUCAUUGGCAAUUUUUCGCAUCUAAUGAGUUGCACGCAUUUUAAUUACUUCAGUCACUCAAUCAAUAUCGUAAAAAGAUUCAAAUUGACACAAGUGAUUAGUUGUAUAUAUAAAAUUUUGCACGAGCAAAAUGACCGCAAAUAUUUAUUAUAUUCAUUUUCAGAUUUUACCGUUCUCGUAUACAUUGUCAGGAUUUUAUUUACGUGCUGAAGUGCUACUUGAAGAGAGGCGAUGAAUAUGAUAAUUUUAGUUAUAAGUUGAUAAAAAUUUAUUAGUAACUAUUAAUGCGUUAAUGUAUCGAUGUAUUUUUCAUAUUGUGUUAGAUCCUGGAAUUGCGUUGUAUCAACUAUUAAAUCAUUAUCAUAAACAAUUAUCAAUGCAGAUUGA